AGAGUUUGAUCCUGGCUCAGGACGAACGCUGGCGGCGUGCUUAACACAUGCAAGUCGAACGGUAAGGCUCUUCGGAGUACACGAGUGGCGAACGGGUGAGUAACACGUGAGCAACCUACCCUUGACACUGGGAUAACAGUUGGAAACAGCUGCUAAUACCGGAUACGACCCGAGCAGGCAUCUGCUUGGGUGGAAAGCUCCGACGGUCAAGGAUGGGCUCGCGGCCUAUCAGCUUGUUGGUGAGGUAACGGCUCACCAAGGCGACGACGGGUAGCCGGCCUGAGAGGGCGACCGGCCACACUGGGACUGAGAUACGGCCCAGACUCCUACGGGAGGCAGCAGUGGGGAAUAUUGCGCAAUGGGCGAAAGCCUGACGCAGCAACGCCGCGUGCGGGAUGACGGCCUUCGGGUUGUAAACCGCUUUCAGCUACGACGAAGUGAAAGUGACGGUAGUAGCAGAAGAAGCGCCGGCUAACUACGUGCCAGCAGCCGCGGUGAUACGUAGGGCGCAAGCGUUGUCCGGAAUUAUUGGGCGUAAAGAGCUCGUAGGCGGUCUGUUGCGUCGGGAGUGAAAACUCAGGGCUUAACCCUGAGCCUGCUCUCGAUACGGGCAGACUUGAGGAACGUAGGGGAGAACGGAAUUCCUGGUGGAGCGGUGGAAUGCGCAGAUAUCAGGAGGAACACCGGUGGCGAAGGCGGUUCUCUGGACGUUUCCUGACGCUGAGGAGCGGAAGCGUGGGGAGCAAACAGGCUUAGAUACCCUGGUAGUCCACGCUGUAAACGGUGGGCACUAGGUGUGGGGGACAUUCCACGUUCUCCGUGCCGUAGCUAACGCAUUAAGUGCCCCGCCUGGGGAGUACGGCCGCAAGGCUAAAACUCAAAGGAAUUGACGGGGGCCCGCACAAGCGGCGGAGCAUGCAGAUUAAUUCGAUGCAACGCGAAGAACCUUACCUGGGUUUGACAUAUACCGGAAACACUUAGAGAUAGGUGCCCCGCAAGGUCGGUAUACAGGUGGUGCAUGGCUGUCGUCAGCUCGUGUCGUGAGAUGUUGGGUUAAGUCCCGCAGCAAGCGCAACCCUCGUCCUAUGUUGCCAGCGGGUAAUGCCGGGAACUCAUAGGAGACUGCCGGGGUCAACUCGGAGGAAGGUGGGGAUGAGGUCAAGUCAUCAUGCCCCUUAUGUCCAGGGCUUCACGCAUGCUACAAUGGCUGGUACAAAGGGCUGCAAUAUCGCAAGAUGGAGCGAAUCCCAAAAAGCCAGUCUCAGUUCGGAUUGGGGUCUGCAACUCGACCCCAUGAAGUCGGAGUCGCUAGUAAUCGCAGAUCAGCAACGCUGCGGUGAAUACGUUCCCGGGCCUUGUACACACCGCCCGUCAAGUCAUGAAAGUCGGUAACACCCGAAGCCAGUGGCUCAACCAUUUAUGGAGGGAGCUGUCUAAGGUGGGAUCGGUAAUUAGGACUAAGUCGUAACAAGGUA
rnacentral:rRNA from 1 species